rnacentral:rRNA from 1 species
AGAACGAACGCUGGCGGCAUGCCUAAUACAUGCAAGUCGAACGAACUCUUCGGAGUUAGUGGCGCACGGGUGCGUAACGCGUGGGAAUCUGCCCCUUGGUUCGGAAUAACAGUUGGAAACGACUGCUAAUACCGGAUGAUGACGAAAGUCCAAAGAUUUAUCGCCAAGGGAUGAGCCCGCGUAGGAUUAGCUAGUUGGUGAGGUAAAGGCUCACCAAGGCAACGAUCCUUAGCUGGUCUGAGAGGAUGAUCAGCCACACUGGGACUGAGACACCGGCCCAGACCUCCGUACGGG